AUUAAUUAAUUAUUAUGGGACGGAAUGUAAUUUCAGUCGCUACUUUGGGACAGAAUAUAUUAUUCCGUCACCAAUUUGUGGAAAUGGUUCCAUCAUUGAGAGAAAUUCUUUUAAUUUCACACGUUAUUUUCUUUACCCUCAAAUGAGAGAAACAAAAAACUCAAACCUCUUUCUAUGCUCUCUCGUCGGCCAGACCUUUUCGAUCCAGAUCCCGCCACCACUCAACCAGAUCGGAGAUAAAGACACACUUUUCGAGCUCCCCAUAGCGAGAUCUAUUUUUUGAGAGGAGCAACUAUGUCGUCUGCCUCUCCACUGUUGUGAAAUAGUUUUGGUGGAACCACUAUGUUGGAACUCUACAGCCGCCGUGGUACGAUCUACUUCAAAGGGAUCAAUCCUCAAGUUACUGAAAUGAUGCAAAGAAGGGCCAUUGACAUCUAACUAGUUGACUAUUUCUAUGGUGCAAAAGAAGGGCCAUUGACACAACUUGAGAACAUAAUAUGAACAAUAGAUAAUAUGUUAGGAAAAUUUUCUUAAGCUAUGUUCACAACUUAAAUCUCUACCUCAACAUUAUGAGUUUGGUGAUGAAUGAGUACUUUCUCAAGCCUAUUGAUUAUGAUGCAUUGCAUAAGGAUUGGAAACAUGUGUCCAUGCCUCCAAGAUAAUAGUGAUGACUUUGUACUUACAAUCUUCAAAAUUAAUAUAAGUUUUAGUCUUUUGAAUGUAUUUUUAGAAUUUGGAUUAUGUAUAUUAUGUUUAUAAUUGUAUCAGACAAAUAUGUAAUUGCUUAUUAGUUGAAUAAAAAUUGAUGAUCAUUACAUUAUGAA